rnacentral:rRNA from 1 species
GUGCCAGCAGCCGCGGUAAUACGUAGGGUGCGAGCGUUGUCCGGAAUUACUGGGCGUAAAGAGCUCGUAGGUGGUUUGUCGCGUCGUUUGUGUAAGCCCGCAGCUUAACUGCGGGACUGCAGGCGAUACGGGCAUAACUAGAGUGCUGUAGGGGAGACUGGAAUUCCUGGUGUAGCGGUGAAAUGCGCAGAUAUCAGGAGGAACACCGAUGGCGAAGGCAGGUCUCUGGGCAGUAACUGACGCUGAGGAGCGAAAGCAUGGGGAGCGAACAGGAUUAGAUACCCUGGUAGUCCAUGCCGUAAACGGUGGGCGCUAGGUGUGGGGAUCUUUCUACGAUUUCCGUGCCGUAGCUAACGCAUUAAGCGCCCCGCCUGGGGAGUACGGCCGCAAGGCUAAAACUCAAAGGAAUUGACGGGGGCCCGCACAAGCGGCGGAGCAUGUGGAUUAAUUCGAUGCAACGCGAAGAACCUUACCUGGGCUUGACAUACACCAGAUCGGCGCAGAGAUGCGUCUUCCCUUGUGGCUGGUGUACAGGUGGUGCAUGGUUGUCGUCAGCUCGUGUCGUGAGAUGUUGGGUUAAGUCCCGCAACGAGCGCAACCCUUGUCUUGUGUUGCCAGCACGUAAUGGUGGGGACUCGCGAGAGACUGCCGGGGUUAACUCGGAGGAAGGUGGGGAUGACGUCAAAUCAUCAUGCCCCUUAUGUCCAGGGCUUCACACAUGCUACAAUGGUCGGUACAACGCGCAGCGACACUGUGAGGUGGAGCGAAUCGCUGAAAGCCGGCCUUAGUUCGGAUUGGGGUCUGCAACUCGACCCCAUGAAGUCGGAGUCGCUAGUAAUCGCAGAUCAGCAAUGCUGCGGUGAAUACGUUCCCGGGCCUUGUACACACCGCCCGUCACGUCAUGAAAGUUGGUAACACCCGAAGCCGGUGGCCCAAACUUGUUAGGGAGCCGUCGAAGGUGGGAUCGGCGAUUGGGACGAAGUCGUAACAAGGUA